rnacentral:rRNA from 1 species
GACGAACGCUGGCGGCGUGCUUAACACAUGCAAGUCGAACGGAAAGGCCCUGCUUUUGUGGGGUGCUCGAGUGGCGAACGGGUGAGUAACACGUGAGUAACCUGCCCUUGACUUUGGGAUAACGUCAGGAAACUGGGGCUAAUACCGGAUAGGAGCUCCUGCUGCAUGGUGGGGGUUGGAAAGUUUCGGCGGUUGGGGAUGGACUCGCGGCUUAUCAGCUUGUUGGUGGGGUAGUGGCUUACCAAGGCUUUGACGGGUAGCCGGCCUGAGGGGGUGACCGGCCACAUUGGGACUGAGAUACGGCCCAGACUCCUACGGGAGGCAGCAGUGGGGAAUAUUGCACAAUGGGCGGAAGCCUGAUGCAGCAACGCCGCGUGCGGGAUGACGGCCUUCGGGUUGUAAACCGCUUUCGCCUGUGACGAAGCGUGAGUGACGGUAAUGGGUAAAGAAGCACCGGCUAACUACGUG